GUAGUCAUAUGCUUGUCUCAAAGAUUAAGCCAUGCAUGUCUAAGUAUAAGCACUUUGUACUGUGAAACUGCGAAUGGCUCAUUAAAUCAGUUAUCGUUUAUUUGAUAGUACCUUACUACAUGGAUACCUGUGGUAAUUCUAGAGCUAAUACAUGCUGAAAACCCCGACUUCGGAAGGGGUGUAUUUAUUAGAUAAAAAACCAAUGCCCUUCGGGGCUCCUUGGUGAGUCAUAAUAACUUAGCGAAUCGCAUGGCCUUGCGCCGGCGAUGGUUCAUUCAAAUUUCUGCCCUAUCAACUUUCGAUGGUAGGAUAGUGGCCUACCAUGGUGGCAACGGGUAACGGGGAAU
rnacentral:rRNA from 1 species